AAGGUGGUUGCCUAAGGACUGUUGAGGAAAUACUGUGAUGGCAGUCAGAAGUCAACUAGUUUGCACUGUCUCACUCAUCUUUGAAAAUGUGUGAAGAAAAAGGGCCACGGUUUCAAAAGGACUUAAAAAACAUAGCAACAACACAUUCCAACACUUCCCUCUGAUUAUGGGAAAGCACCCUGCCCUCCAAACCUAGAUAUCCAGGUUCUCUUCCUGAAAACUGGAUUUUCUCCAGGGCCAUGUGAUACAUGUAGAUGCUGAGCUGUGACCAGUCAUGGAUGUCACACAGAGGAAGUGAGGAGCUGAUCCUGCAAGGCAAAGUCACUGGGAGUUGAGAGAUUUUUGUCCUUCACUGAUAUGACUUCCCAGAGUUAUAGGAUGACUGGCUCCGUGGCAUUAAUCUGACGACUUAGUCUUUAUCUUCAACCCAUGACCUAAGCCUGCUGAUGUACACAACCAUCUCAAAAGACCAGUGAUACCUAUUUAAAUGUUUAAAUGAGUUUAACAUGUGAAUCUAUAUUUAUUUUCAACAUUUAACAUUUAAAACAUUUUUUUAAAUUAACCUUUGAUAAUAUAGUUGUCCUUAUCUUUCUUUUUGUUGCCUUAUCUCUUUGUUACCAUUAUUAAUAGCUUCUCAUUAUUGAUAAUAAGAGUCACAUGAGUGACUGAAUUUCAAAAGGACUCAUUUCACAUUUCACACAUAUUGUCCCCCUUUUGUCCAGAGACUCCCACAACAGUUCUGUUUUUCUUUUGCUUUAAGUUUUCCCUAUCCAUCAGGGAGUCUUAUCCACCUCUUGGUGCAAUGGGCUAUGUUUGCAGCACAUCUUUAAAUCCAAGAAUCUCCAUUCUAUGUCUAGCCAAAACCCUAGGAGAGUCUCUAGCACAGAUGAACUUCUGAGAGCAAUAUUUUACUAUCAGAAGGGCAUGUCAUACCUAGGGAGACAAAUCUGACUUAUUGCACUGCAAGAUAAUUGUCUGCACCCCUAAAUGGCCUGUGAAGGCCUUGAGGAGGCAUCUUGCUAACUUGUGAAGGGCAGUUGUUAUUCUGUCAGCAUGUGAGAACUCCAAAAUAAAAAUACCAGACAUAUGCUUUUUCCAUGUCCUCGGAACUUGAAGUGGUAAAUGCAUUCAUUUCCUUUCAUUUUGCAUCCAUCUGAUUGCUUUUAAACAUAGUAAGGAUCAAAUCUUUCCAACACUGAUACCUAAGGCCAACCUCCCUCUGACUUCCACGAGACGGGAAUUUAGCUCUCAGGAAUUAGUGUCUGGGGAGGAUGCAUUGAAAUAAAUGGUGAUUGUCAAAGCACAUUGGAAUUUAGAGCACAUUUGUUGCAAAGAUAGAAGCUCGCUGGGGUAUCUGAUUGUCAGAGUCAAUUUUAUUUUCCUUACAGCACAUAUGCACAUAUUUGAACCUUGUCAUGCUGCAAAGGGAAAUACCUCAUUAGAUUUCACUAGGGUUUCUUCAGAAUUGUUUAUACACUACAGUCAAUAAAGAUAUUUUUUGUUUAAUAAAUGAAAUACUGGAAGGGCCUGUUCUAUCAGGGAAUCGAAGGAAGUGCAUUUAUCCCUGGUAAAGAUGAAGCUCUAUUUUAUAGGGUGCAGAAAGCCUGCAAUGUGUAUUAUUUUUCAAAUAGUUGAAAGAUUUAUAGUGGUAAAUGGUUUCUUUAAAUGGUUUCUUUUUCAGUCUCCUGAUUAUAUUAACUGCAACAAAGCAAAUGUUACAAAUAAAAACAAGAGUAAACCAAGAGCAUUUGUACAUUCUGUAUUUUCAAUUAUGAUUUUAACAGAAAUUAAU